UACGUAGGGUGCGAGCGUUGUCCGGAAUUACUGGGCGUAAAGAGCUCGUAGGCGGUCUGUCACGUCUGCCGUGAAAACCCGAGGCUUAACCUCGUGGCUUGCGGUGGAUACGGGCAGACUAGAGGUAGGUAGGGGAGAACGGAAUUCCCGGUGUAGCGGUGAAAUGCGCAGAUAUCGGGAGGAACACCGGUGGCGAAGGCGGUUCUCUGGGCCUUACCUGACGCUGAGGAGCGAAAGCAUGGGGAGCGAACAGG
rnacentral:rRNA from 1 species